UGUUGAUGCUUAAAUCUGCUCGCCUUUGGACCGAUCAGAUUCUUUCACCAACGUUUGUGUUAUCUACUGUUGCUCGUUCACUGCGAUUGGAAUCGUCCUCCUUUCUCACAAUAGACCUGCGCUCACCAAAAACGGAUCAGAGACGCCGGUGGUUUUGCCGGCGUAAACCCUCCGAUACUUAAGUUAGCUCAAGGUGUUUACGGGAAAACAGUGCAAUUUAGAUCUCAAAAUGGUUUCUAAAUUAUUCGGAGUUUUAUAAGAAAAUAGCAUGGUUUCAAUUUGGCAGCGUUUUCCCCCUCUCAAUUUUUCUAUCCCCAUCUUCAUCGAUUUCUCCUUCUUUUAUAGCCGUUAUCCCCACGUUCCCGCUUGCCCUUCAUCCCACCUUUUUCGGGUAGUGGUAGCCUCUCAUGGGGCUCUAACUGCUGCAUUAUGGGCAAACGUGGGAUCUCGCGUCUCCCGCAACGGUUCUGGGAAAGCACAACUACCGUGAUUCUGUGAGAUCGUGUUUCCGCUUUUCGGGGGACGGGUACCGGCUCGGUAUGUGGCUCUGGUCAGUAUUCGUCUCUGAUCGACUCAUGUUACCCCUGUUCUGCUCGUACCAUUUGGCUGAGGUGAUUCAUGCCGGGGUGGAAGUAGUAUCCUGGCCGACCUGGUGCUUUUAUUUGCUUAACACCAGUCCCCCAGUUUCUGGUCUUGUGAGUGAAAUGAGUCAAGAGUAGAAACUGAUAGUCGACUCUUACCAAUCUGGGGGUUUCUCCUCUGGUCUUCUGUCUACCGGGACGGACCUGGGCUUGCAUCUAGCCCGGCCUCUUGUAACGGUUGGUGACGUGGCAUCUCCCGAUUCUUCGUAUUUGAAAUUUGAAACGACGGGCUAUCUGUCUUCGAUGUACGGUGAGUGAGCUGGCGUCCCCAUCACUUAAAUGCUUCUAUUUCCCCCUUUUCGUUUUAAAUCCCUAGACUGGAGUCUUCACCAUCUUGUUACUCGUUUCUCCGCCGUUAACCAAAUUUCUCUGCACUUUGCUCACACUUCCAGCGUCCGGAGUAUCCAUUUGCUGGGUGUUUUCUCUGUCGCGGCGGCGCUAUCAGUGUCAGUCUAUUCCAGGUAUAGCCUUUAACCUUUUCUUCGGCUGUUGUUGAUUGGGUUCUGUGUUGCCCCUUUGUGUCCAUAUACUCGAGUUUUCUCUGUCUUCUUUUGGGAUUCCGGUAUGUCAAAUCGGAAGAGGAAGUUAAUUGUUGAUGAGGGUGAUGACGAAUCAGGGGAUUCAGGCCUCAACGUGCCAAUACUCACCGAUUUUUUAGGUCCCUCCAGUAGUGUAGGUCCUCCUUAUGGUAGGGAUACUCUUGAGUACCCACGCCCCCUGGUUGUCUCUCCCUCUCCCGAAUUAGAGCUUGUAGGAAAUAAGGGUGGACCUGCGUCGGGCUCUGGUGAGAACCACAGCUUUGGUGGGGUUGGGAUCCCUGAAGGAGUUGGUGAUGGUGAGGGGAGCAGUUCCGGACCGAGCAAACCUGCUCAGAAAAGGAACCUAGGCCAUAGGGUGGAGGCUGAUUCCUACCCUAUUGAUUUCAUGGCUUGUGCCACCACCCCCACCGAUCUAUUUAAACUUAGGAAUCUCUACAACAUCCCCAACGAGGUUCUUCUUGUAGUUCCUGGAAAAGGUGAUGUCCCUAGUCUCCCUCCGAAAGGGUAUGUGACGAUGCACUUGGAGAGUUUCAGACUAGGAGUUCGGCUGCCCCUUCAACCUUACUUUGCCAAGAUACUGGGCGGUAUGCACCUGGCCCCAGGUCAGCUACACCCAAAUGGGUGGAGGGUUCUCUCGGCAAUGUUUGUGUUGUGGGAGAGGUGCGGGUCGGAGGAGCCUUCUCUUGUUGAAGUGAAACAUCUGUACCAGCUGCGGAGUAGCUCGAAAGAGGCAGGCUGGUACUAUUUCAUGUCCAGUUCCGCAAAGAGGAAACCGAUCACUGGGUUUCCAUCUUCAUGUAAAAAUUGGAAGAACAAAUUCUUCUUUCCUGGAGGGAACUGGUGUCCAGCGGUUCAGUCGCUUGGUGGGGACAUUUAUCUUCCCACCCAUUUUGUCACCCCAGGUCGUUCAUUUUUGCCUAUAUUCUUUCUCAAAUUGCCACUCAUUGGGUUCUUUAACCUUGUUUGUUUUUUCAGAAUCGUGGGGUUUGGUGAAGGAUCUUGAAGACCGACCUUUGCUUCAGGUGGAAACUGCUCUGUUGAACGCGUCUACUUGCCAAGACCUCCUGUCGCCAACAAACUUGGUCGGUUCCCGCUUAGUAGAUAUUGCCACUGGAAUGGAUAACAAGAUCCUCAGCGCGUUGAGCAGAAAGCGUGGUCGGGCUCCGAGUAGCUCCAGCAACCCUCCCCCUCCUCCAAAGAAACCCAGCGUUGGUCCUUCCAAGGCGCCAGUUCCUGCUCUGCCCCCUCCUCCACCUCGUAAGAGUGGUGGGGAUAAAACCUCCGACAAGAGUCCUGAGGUCAGCUUGCAGUCUGGGGACCGCUCUUCUCCUCUUCCAUCUCGGGAUCAAGGUGACUACCUGAGCCCAUAUCAGAAGGAUUACAGAAAAUCGGUUGGGCCCAAGAUGGUGAAGGACAUCGAGAGCAUGAGCCUCUCCGAGUUAGCUGCUUCUGUUCAAAGAGUCUCCUUCAGGCUGGCCACAAUGGUCUCGUUCUACAAGACCGGGUCCGCGCGUCAUGAGAGGAAGCUCCAAGCUAAUAACCAGGAGUUGAAAAAGAAAGUCGAAUCUACUGACCGUUCCAAGGAGAAACUGGCCGAGCUGAACAAGCAGCUUACGGAGCUUGAGGAGAAAGUUGCUGUUGCUGAGUCCACUUCCUCCAAGCUUGAGGAUGAGUUGGGUGAUCUGAAGUCCGAUCUUCAGGCUACCCAAAGUGAAAGGGAUACUCUAAGGGUCGCCCUUGAAGGAGAGAUCAAAUCCCUGAAGGACCAGCUGGCUGAGGAGAAAAGCAAAUCCGCUGACGUGGAUGAUCGGCUGGAUGCCGAGUAUGACUCCGGGGUUGCUUUCAGCUAUAAGUGCAUCAUGUCUGUGCUUAAGGAAGAAUACCACGAGCUCGACAUGAGCAAGCUGGAAUCUGGGGUGGAGAGGUAUAUGGCUGGGGCCGGCCAGGGAGAUAAGGAGCAAGUGGAGGUUCCUUUUGAUGAGGUGCGGGAGGGAGGAGCUGGUCAGUGUGUUUUUGAAGUGGGACAAGGGUCCGCGCCUCCUCCUCCCGUUAUUGCUGAUCUUCCACCUCCCGAGACAGCCGACCCUUCUCCUGCUGAGGCCGUUGACCUUCCUAAUCCUUAGGUCUAUUUUUGUAAAAAACUCUAGUUUUUCAUUUGCUUUGUAAACAUUUGAACGUUUAUAAAAAUUUUUGAAUGCUUUCUAUUGGCUUUCUUGUCUGGUUUUGCCUGUUGGUUCUUUGGUGCAUCGAACAGGAAUAGGCAUCCGUUUGCCUUAGUAAAAUUUUCGAAGCUUUAGCUGCUAGUCUUUCGUUGACCGAGCAGAAACAUGCACUUUGUUGCCUUAGUAGAAUUGUCGAAGCUUUAGCUGCUGGUCUUUCGUUGACCGAGCAGAAACAGGCACUUUAUUGCCUUAGUAGGAUUUUUUGCAGAAUUAGCUGCAGGUCUUUCGUGGACCGAGCAGAAAUAGGCAUUUACUUGCCUUAGUAGAAUCUUCGUAGAUUUAGCUGCUGGUCUUUCGUUGACCGAGCAGAAGUAGGCACUUACUUGCCUUAGUAGAAACUUCGUAAAUUUAGCUGCUGGUCUUUCGUUGACCGAGCAGAAGUAGGCACUUACUUGCCUUAGUAGAAACUUCGUAAAUUUAGUUGCUGGUCUUUCGUUGACCGAGCAGAAGUAGGCACUUACUUGCCUUAGUAGAAACUUUUAUUGAUUAGACUAGCAGGGGGAUUUCAUGCUGAAUUCAUCUUUAUUUGAAAUUUGAAAGCAUUACAAGAAUACUGGAUACAUACAUGUGCAACAAAGCCAUGAUGCAGUUAACAUAGAUAUCUUGUCAAAAUGGGGAUUUAGUAGAGCACUUUGCUUACUGGAAAUACUUCUUCAGGUGUUCGGCGUUCCAUGACCUCUUCACUUCUCGUCCAUCUUGGUGCGCUAAUUUAUAGGCUCCUGGUCCAGUGGCUCGUAUCACCCGGUACGGGCCUUCCCACUUUGGGCCAAGAGCGCCAUGGUUAGGAUCCCUGGUGUUCUGGUUCACCUUCCUAAGUACCCAAUCUCCUACUCGGAACUGCCUCACGCGUACGUUCUUGUUGUAAUAACGCAUGACCCUUUGUUGGCACUGGGCCACUUUCUGCACUGCCCCUUCCCUUUUCUCCUCCAGCAGGUCCAGACUUAAGCAAAUCUGCUCGUCAUUUUGCUCCUCAGUGAAAUAUUCCGUCCGAUGUGUUCCCACUCCAACCUCUGCUGGGAUUACCGCCUCAUGACCAAAGGCUAAAGCGAACGGUGUUUCUCCUGUGGCGGUUUUGUGAGUUGUCCUGUAGGCCCACAGUACUCCUGGUAACUCGUCAACCCAAGCUCCCUUCUUCUCUCCCAAUCUAGUCUUUAGGAGCUUCUUUAUCACCUUGUUGGCUGCUUCCACUUGUCCGUUUGCCUGGGGGUGUGCGGGGGUGCAGAACUUAAGGUCCACCCCCAGGUUUCGGCAAAAUUCCCUGAAGUUGCUGUUGUCAAAUUGCCUCCCAUUGUCUGUGAUGAUGGCGUAGGGGAUCCCAUAUCUGCAGAUGAUAUUCUUCCAAAUAAAAUCUGUUGUCUUCCUCUCCGUGAUCUGGCUGAGGACUCCUACUUCCACCCACUUGGUAAAGUAGUCUAUUGCCACAAUUGCAUGUGUCGCCGCUCCUCGUCCCUUAGGCAAUGGACCAAUCAAGUCGACUCCCCAUUAAGCGAAAGGCCAUGGGGAUGUCAUAGCCGUCAGCUUUUCCGGGGGUUGUGCAGGAACCUCGGAGAAGCUUUGGCAUGUUUUACAAUUCUUUGCCAUCCUUUUGGCAUCCUGGUGCAUGGUUGGCCAGAAGUAUCCUUGCCAGAGUGCCUUGAAGGCUAAAGUUCUUGCUCCCGAGUGAUUGCCGCAUAUUUCCUCAUGAAUCUCUCUCAGCACAUAAUCCGCCUCCUCAUCAUCCAAACAUCUCAGAAGGGGCAAGGUGAACCCUCGGCGGUACAGCACUCCAUCCAGUAGCGUAUACAUUGAUGCUCGGCAUUUUAAUUUUCUUGCUUGCCUUUUGUCCUCUGGUAAAACUCCAUCGCGGACAUAUGCGCGAAUCGGGUCCAUCCAGGAUUCUCCAGUACUUACUCUCAUCACCUCUGCUUUUUCCUCAAUACUUGGUGAGGUCCUUACCUCUAGUGGAACUGACUUCGGUAACUUUGGAUCUGCAAUGGCUGUCAUCCUAGCCAGCAUAUCUACUCGGAAAUUCUCAUUCCGGGAUAUCUGCUUUACCUCCACUGCUUGGAAAAGCCCAACCAUCUGCUUUGCCUUCUUUAAAUAAAGACCCAUCUUCUCUCCCCUUGCUUGGAACUGAUCAUUGAGCUGAUUACACACCAGUUGGGAAUCUGCUCAAAUUUCUACCCUCUCUGCUCUUAGAGCGUGUGCAAGUCCGAGCCCGGUGAUAAAGGCCUCAUAUUCAGCUAGGUUGUUUGUGAGCUGAAAGUCAAACUUCACUGCAUACGUUAUUUCGGUUCCUUCUGGGCUCCGUAUUACAACUCCUGCUCCGGAUCCUUGCUCACUACAUGAUCCGUCAACCAUUACCAACCACAACCCCUCUGGUUUCUCCUGCUCUGCUGCUUGCUCCUCCCGAAUUUUUUUCCCUGUAUCGGCUCGGUCAACCAUAAAUUCAGCCAGAGCUUGGGCCUUGAUUGCUUCUCGGGGCCUGUAAGAGAGGUCGAAUUCACUUAGCUCUACGGACCAUUUUACUAGUCGACCCGAUGCAUCUGGUUUUUAAAGUGUUUGCCGAAGGGGCUGGUCGGUCAUAACAAUAACCUGAUGGGCCUGAAAAUAUGGUCGGAGUUUUCGUGCUGCCGUUAUUAGAGCUAGCGCCCACUUCUCCAUCAAUGGGUAUCUGGUUUCCGCCUCUACCAAGACCUUGCUUGUGUAGUAUACCGGGUGUUACUUUCCUUCCUCUUCCCUAACCAAUACCGAGCUGGUAGCCCAUUUAGAGAUUGCUAAGUACAGCAACAGCUGGUCACCCUCUCUCGGAGUCGAUAACAAUGGGGCCCGGGUUAGGUAUUCCUUCAACUGCCCAAAUGCUUCCUCACAUUCCGAUGUCCACUCCAUCUUUUUCCCUUUCUUUAUGGUUUGGAAGAAAGGGUGGCAUUUAUCUGUGGCCCGCGAGAUGAAUCGGUUUAAUGCUGCCAACUUCCCUGUAAGGCUUUGCACCUCCUUAACUGUUCGUAGGGACUUCAUUUCUGUCACCGCCCGUAUUUUCUCCGGGUUGGCCUCGAUCCCUCGGUGGCUUACCAGGAAUCCUAAAAAUUUGCCCGAGCUGACCCCAAAUGCACAUUUCUCCGGGUUUAGUUUCAUUUCAUACUUCCUCAGUAAUUCAAAGGUCUCUUCUAGAUGCUUCACAUGAUCCGUCGGCUCUUUGGACUUUGUAAUCAUAUCAUCCACAUAUACCUCCAUAGUGUAUCCAAUCAACGGUUUGAAGAUCUUGUUUACCAACCUUUGAUAGGUGGCUCCUGCAUUUUUUAGGCCGAAAGGCAUUACCCUGUAACAAAACAAACCCAUGUUAGUUAUAAAGGCAGUGCUUUCCUCAUCCUGCUCGUCCAUGGGUAUCUGGUUGUAUCCAGAAAAAGCAUCCAUGAAACUGAGCAGACUGUGACCUGCUGUUGAGUCCACCAGCUGAUCUAUUUUGGGUAGGGGGAAACUGUCCUUCGGGCAUGCCUUAUUGAGGUCCGUGAAGUCUACACACAUUCUCCACUUCCCGUUGGCCUUUUUUACCAGGACUACAUUUGAAAUCCAUUCUGGGUACUUGGCUUCCCUUAUAAAUCCUGCUUUCAACAACUUCUCCACCUCGGCGUUUAUGGCCUCAUACCUUUCCUGGUUGCAGCAUCUCCUCUUCUGUCUCACCGGCCUUGCCCCCUUCUUGAUUGCCAACUUGUGGCAAGCUACCCCGCGAUCAAUUCCGGGCAUAUCUUCAUGAGACCAGGCGAAUAUAUCCACAUGAGACUGUAGGUAAUUUACCAGCUCGCCUUUUACUGCCCCAAUCAAUCCUGACCCGAUCUUCACUACUCUGCUCGGGUUGCUUUUGCUUACCGCAACUUCCUCCAGUUUCUCAACAGGCUCUUGGCGGCCCUUUUUAGACUCUCCUCGAUUAUCUAGAGAAGUAACCUGUAGUGUCUCCUUGGCCGCCGUAGCAUAACAACUCCUUGCCAUCCUCUGGUCGCCUUUUACUACGCCAACCACUCCAUUUAUUCUGUAUUUCAGCGCCAAGUAAUGCGUGGAUACAACGCAUUGGCUUAUCCUCAUGAAUGGUCUCCCCAGUAUCAUCUGGUAAGGGCUUCUUUCCUCUACCACGACGAAGUCCAGCAUCAUCGUUCGUUCAGACGACUUUGUCCCCACAGUAAUCGGGAGUUCAAUGAUCCCCAAGGGAGUUAACCGUCCCCCUCCAAAUCCUUUUAAGGAAGUAUUUGUCCGCUCCAGCUUUAAAUCUGAAAUCCCCAUAUCAUCUAGGGCUGACUUAAAUAGAAUGUCAACUGAACUGCCCGUGUCCACCAGUAUUCGCCGCAAUUCUGUGCUAGCCACCGAUGCUUUAAUCACUAGUGCAUCCUCAUGAGGAUAUAAAAUACCCUCUUCAUCCUCAUCUGUCCACAUAAUGGGAACUUGUCGCACUUUUGCCUUCUUGGUUGCUGGCAAAUUGAAAAGCACUUAUUUGCUAGUCAGGGCGUAUCUCCCAUAGUUCUUUCGUGCCCUGUUCGAAUCUCCGGCCAAUGUUGGCCCUCCUGCUAUCACACGGAUGGUCGGUUGUUCACGUUCCAAAUCCCUCUCAACUCCUUCAUCCCGUGUGUACUGUGAUUCCAUGACAGGGGAUAUUCCAUCUACAUACUCGUCCAAGUAUCGGUUCCUCACUAAAUCCUCCACCUGAAUCUUCAGGUCACGACAUUGGCUGAUAGUGUGACCGUGAGUGUCAUGGAACUUGCAGAAUCGGCUCUUAUCCCGUCGGUGAGUCGGUUUUGUUAUUGGGGCUUGAGGGUACAGCAAGUUUCGUCCCUCGAUCCUCUCGUACAAUUCCUCCAUAGAGAUCUUUAGUGGAGUGUAUUGUCUAUAUGUCAAGCUCUGGUCUACCAGCUGAACUGCUCGGCUAUCAUGAACGUCACCUCGGGCUGGCAUAGUCGCUGACUGAUCUGGUCGUCUAGCCCUGGAAUUGGUUGCAUGUAAUGCUCUGGGAGUGUUAUGAUAGGGGUCGGCAGCCAUCUGCCGGAAUUCUCGCUGCCGAUCCGAGAAUGGGGGACGUGGAGGUUGAGCCCGGUUGUGCUGGAACUGUUGUGAUCUCGGAGCUAUGGGGUAAGGGCGGGAUCGAGCUGAUGUUCCGCCCCUUACUGAGGGUUCCCCAGCUCGCUUUCCCGACCCGCUCCCAUUUGGAGUUCUCCUUUCCUUUCGUCUCAACUCCUCCAGCUGUUCACUCUUUAUCUUUGCCGAUUUUUCUUCUUCGAUUUCGAUAUCUCUCUUUUCCUGCUCAUAUCCUGCUGAAUAAUUCUGCACCAGGGGGCUUCUCAGGUUAUACCAUAGCCGGCCUAUCCUCACACCCUCCUUUAAACCCCUCAACGCCUGCGGGUGAUUGAAAGCUCCCAAAUCAAGUACGGCUCGGUGGUAUCGCUUUACAAAAUCCCGUAGGGACUCGUGCUCCUCCUGUUUCAUCCCCAUCAGUUCCAUCAUGUCGUCCUCUGGGGCUACUGCCCCUCGGAACUGCUCGGCCAACUCCUGGCACAUCUGCUCAUACCCCUUUAUACUUCCACGAGGCAGCUUGCGAUACCAUUCUCGAGCUCGUCCCUCUAGUGUCAACGGGAACGCCCUGCACCUCUGAGCUGAUGUCAGCCCCUGCACACCCGUCAUAUCGUUGAAACGCUCAAUGUGCACCAGUGGGUCACUUCGUCCAGAGUAUUUGAGGUCGGGGAAGCGGAAAUCUCUUGGAAUUAUGGUACCCAUGAUCUCGAUUGAUAACGGAGAUUCUUCAUCUAACAUUAUCCUCCAGCUCGGGGGCUUUCUCUUGCCCUGUAUCUCCUCUAUCACCUGCGCCAACCUGCGCACCUCCCCCUCCAAUUCUAUAGCACGGUUAGGAUCACGCGUAGCUAUCUGGUCUUGCUCCUGCUCGGCGUUCUGCAACCGCUGUCUGAGCUCUCCUUCAUCAACAUUGGCACCUCGGCCAGUAGUUUCCAGUACCCGUCCGGGGCGAGUUUGGUCUCUCCCUUCAUCCCCGUGUUCUCCUGGGACCCGACCAGUACUUCUAUGGGGAUGCACCCCAUUAGGUUGGUCAGCGGGCGGAGGAAUGUCCUCGACUCUACGUCUCCGGAGGCUGGGUUCUGCUCCGACUUCAUCUCUUCCCACGGGGGUUUCACAAUCCCUUCUCCGCUCAUCCCUCAGCUCAAACAAUAUGGACGCGAGAGUCUCCAUUUGUUUCUCCAUCCGCUCCAGUCUGUCUUGCAUCAUCCUCUCUCGGGCUUCAUUCGCAAUUUCCCGAAGAGUGAUUGUCUCCCCAGCCUCGUUAUCCUCCCUCAAAGCGUCCUUCCUCGUCACAUCCAUGUCUAACCGUUCGCUAUUUCUCCGGUACUUCCUAAUUCGGUGGUAGCUUUUUAUCCAGCUUCCCACAAACGGCGCCAAAAUGUUGAUGCUUAAAUCUGCUCGUCUUUGGACCGACCAGAUUCUUUCACCAACGUUUGUGUUAUCUACUGUUGCUCGUUCACUGGGAUUGGAAUCGUCCUCCUUUCUCACAAUAGACAUGCGCUCACCAAAAACGGAUCAGAGACGCCGGUGGUUUUUCCGGCGUAAACCCUCCGAUGCCUAAGUUAGCUCAAGGUGUUUACGGGAAAACAGUGCAAUUUAGAUCUCAAAAUGGUUUCUAAAUUAUUCGGAGUUUUAUAAGAAAAUAGUCUG
rnacentral:lncRNA from 1 species